rnacentral:rRNA from 1 species
GGGCCCGCACAAGCGGUGGAGUAUGUGGUUUAAUUCGAUGCAACGCGAAGAACCUUACCAGGGCUUGACAUCCUGCGAAUCUCUGGGAAACCGGAGAGUGCCUUCGGGAACGCAGUGACAGGUGGUGCAUGGCUGUCGUCAGCUCGUGUCGUGAAAUGUUGGGUUAAGUCCCGCAACGAGCGCAACCCUUAUCCUUGUUUGCCAGCGAGUAAUGUCGGGAACUCCAGGGAGACUGCCGGUGAUAAACCGGAGGAAGGUGGGGACGACGUCAAGUCAUCAUGGCCCUUACGAGUAGGGCUACACACGUGCUACAAUGGCGCAUACAGAGGGCGGCGAACUUGCGAGAGUAAGCGAAUCCCAAAAGUGCGUCGUAGUCCGGAUUGGAGUCUGCAACUCGACUCCAUGAAGUCGGAAUCGCUAGUAAUCG